rnacentral:rRNA from 1 species
CCUACGGGAGGCAGCAGUGAGGAAUAUUGGUCAAUGGGCGCGAGCCUGAACCAGCCAAGUAGCGUGAAGGAUGACUGCCCUAUGGGUUGUAAACUUCUUUUAUAAAGGAAUAAAGUGAGGCACGUGUGCCUUUUUGUAUGUAUUUUAUGAAUAAGGAUCGGCUAACUCCGUGCCAGCAGCCGCGGUAAUACGGAGGAUCCGAGCGUUAUCCGGAUUUAUUGGGUUUAAAGGGAGCGUAGAUGGUUCGUUAAGUCAGUUGUGAAAGUGUGCGGCUCAACCGUAAAAUUGCCAUUGAUACUGGCAGUCUUGAGUACAGUUGAGGUAGGCGGAAUGCGUGGUGUAGCGGUGAAAUGCAUAGAUAUCACACAGAACUCCGAUUGCGAAGGCAGCUUACUAAACUGCCACUGACAUUGAGGCUCGAAAGUGUGGGGAUCAAACAGGAUUAGAUACCCUGGUAGUC